GCAGCCCAGUCUCAACCCUGAUCCUUCAACCCACUCUUGAUGCUUCACGUCCAUCACAUCUCGUCUUAUGCAAGCUUAUUCCAGCUUAAUCAGGCUUAUUCAUGCCUGAUACUCAUUUUACUUUACUCUAAGUGCCUAUCUCCAAUCUUGAUAAGAAAGCCUCCAUUUUUAUACAGUGCGGAUUAGCGCAACACGCUCUGGCUAAUUCAGUCGUCUGUAGUCGUGCUGUUUUUUUUCCGCGCUCUCAGUCACUUUGCUUGGGUCUUGUGUGGACUUCUUUUGUGGUUUAUGAAAGAGAUCUCUAUAAAAGAACAUGUGGAUUAAUAACCGGUCCUGAUGAGCGUGUAACGCCUCUACAGACUGAAUAAUUCUACAUUAGCUGCGAUGAAGAUCUGCUAAUCUGCUCAGCAGCUAUGCAGAGCGAGUCUUGCAUCAAUGUCAUGCCGGGUAAUUGGAAGUAUUAAUAUUAAAUCGCAUUGUUCUGCUUAGAAACACCUGUCUUGGUGAAACACUCGUGGGAGGAGAGGAACACAGCUGGAGGCGUCGGUCGCGCACACAGGACUGAAAAGUGUCUAGACUGACCGGCUCUCUAAUCCUACACUCACUUUCAUGCGGAUUACGCAUGUAGAAGAAAGGGCAUCCAGCGGAAGAAGGGAAAGAGCCAAAUGAAAGAGAUACUGCUUGUGAGAUCCAUGCCAAUAAUACACAUCUCUGGGAAGCUGGUGGAUGAGAAACUUACAUGCAAAUUCAGUCAAGCCACACAGUUGGAGGGAGAUUGAGAAGGCAAAAAAAUCAUGAGCAGGACACAAAUGAAAAAAAGGCAAUCUGUCUGGGAAAAUCGGGGUGGCCGAAUCAUCAUCACUGCCAGAAAUGUGAUCCCAGCUGCCUCAUACAUUGUUCAGGCAAGUUCAGUUUAACAUCGCUAAAUCUGCUGUGAUACACACUCGUUAUGAAUGUAAACAAUGGGAGACGAGGAGAAAGAGAGGGAGAGAAAUACUGUUCACAAAUGUAAACACAAUCAGUGAGGGGAAAAAAAUGCAUAUGAUUGGUGUUUGUUUUGAGCUGUGACAAAUUGUGCUGAAACAUACGAUACAGUCCUCGAACCCACAACUCUCCACAAGACCCACAUUUACUCUGCUUGAGGGCUGUUUGUAAAAUGUCAAAAUUACACUUAAGACCUCUGAGAAAUGUGGUUUGAAAUAAGAUAACGUACAGAGGAGGCGACAGAUGGGACAGAAAAUGAAUACAAAGAGAAACAUAAGCAAACCCUCCGCGAUGAAAGACGUGAGAGAUGUGAAGAUGGAGCAUGAAAGAGCUGCAGUUUGAGUGAGAGAGAGCUUCUGGUACUAGAGAGCUGGCCUGCAGAGGUCGAGUUCACUUCUCUUUGAGCUCUGGAGGAUCGGGCUUCAUCAGUGCCUUAUUCAUCUUUCUUUUCUUUGUUUCAUUUGCUGCCCCCUUUCAGAAGGAUGGCACGGAUUGAAAAGAAACGCAAGCUUCCAGGUUUUUCUCAUCUCUUGCAGAUUGUCCUAUUCAGUUUGAUCCAUUUGGUUGCUUUUAAUAGGCACCCUCAUUACAGGUGUAUGUGUGAGAGGGAUGAUUGUCGGAAGAUAAUGUCUGGAGGAAUGAUUUGUCCCUGUUGCUGUCUGGCCCGGUUUACACUGUAAUGGUUUCUGAUCUUUUGACACAUACAAAGAUUAAGGUUAUUGAAAAAAAUCGACAGCAACAUGAUUUUCUUUCAAAUAUUA